rnacentral:rRNA from 1 species
GACGAACGCUGGCGGCGUGCCUAACACAUGCAAGUCGAACGGUCCGGCACUCAACCGACCCUCAGUCUAGCUGUAGGUGAAGUUGAGUGCCGGAUAGUGGCGGACGGGUGAGUAACGCGUGGGCAACCAACCCUGUACAGUGGGAUAACACCGGGAAACCGGUGCUAAUACCGCAUGACACCUAGAUGGUGCAUACUGUUUAGGUUAAAGGAUUUAACCGGUACAGGACGGGCCCGCGUCCCAUUAGCUGGUUGGUGAGGUAACGGCUCACCAAGGCGACGAUGGGUAGCCGACCUGAGAGGGUGACCGGCCACACUGGGACUGAGACACGGCCCAGACUCCUACGGGAGGCAGCAGUGGGGAAUAUUGCGCAAUGGACGGAAGUCUGACGCAGCGACGCCGCGUGAGCGACGAAGGCCUUCGGGUCGUAAAGCUCUGUUCUUGGGGACGAAGGAAAUGACGGUACCCAAGGAGAAAGCCCCGGCUAACUACGUGCCAGCAGCCGCGGUAAAAAUAGCGUACUCUA